UCUAAAAAAUAUUUUACUAAAAGAAUUUCAAGUGUUGUGGUAAGAAUAUAAUGGUGUAAAUAUUUUUAGAUUUUAAAUAGACAUCCCGCUUUGGAACCCAGAUAAAAGAAACUGAUGUAUCUACCAAAAUAUGGACUUAAAGUGGAUCAGGUAAAUAUUUUCUGUUUCUUAGAUAUUUUAUUGUCUUUUCAGAAAUAAAGCUACCCAUAAAUAGGCUUCAGCUGAGUAUGAGAAGUAAGAUUAUUUUUAACACUUUUUAUACUUGUUCUUUUUUAAAGAUUACAAGAUAUAGUGAUACAAUGGCAGAAAUACUAGUAACUGUUAUUUUAAGAAACUUUGAACAGCUACAAACUAAAAGAACAGCAUCGGAUUCUCACUAUGUUACCUUAAUUUUAGGUGAUGCGAUAAUGAAGUAGUUUAUCUGCACAAGAUUAUGGAUUCUGUUUUGCUAAAAGCUGGAAAUUGGGCUAAAAAGAUUGCUGUGAAGAGAGCUCUUAAAUCUGAAGAUCUUAGCAUAAAUAUAAUAAGUUCUGAAUUUGUUGGGCUUGAUGUUCAGCGGAAAUUUACAGUCUUUUACUUAGAACCCAAGAGGUUUGGAAAUCAAAUGACUAUGCAAAGAACAUCUGAAACACAGAUUUCCCAUUCUAAACUUUCAGAUAGAUCUACAAUAGCAGGACCUAAUAAAGGAAUGACUGCCAGCAAAAAACCUGGGAACCGAGAAUGCAAUCAUCCUUGUAAAAGUAAACAUACAUGUGGACAUAACUGCUGUAAAAUUGGAAUUGCACAGAAGUCAGAAAUUAAAGAGUCAACAAUUUCUUCAUAUUUAUCUGAUUUAAGAAACAGGAACGCUGUUUCAUCUGUUCCUAUAGUUAAACGUCUGAAGGUUAGUUUUAAUAACAUUUUCCCUUUGUUCUGUAAUUUAAUGUAUAUAAAUAUUCUUUGUUCUGU
ensembl:lincRNA